GCCCGAUUGAUGUAGCUUGGAUAUCAUGGAGGCUUGCGGAGCCUUAAACCGGGGUUCGAAUCCCCGAUCGGGCG
rnacentral:tRNA from 1 species